UACGUAGGGGGCGAGCGUUGUCCGGAUUUAUUGGGCGUAAAGAGCGUGUAGGCGGCCAGGUAGGUCUGCUGUGAAAACUCGAGGCUCAACCUCGAGACGUCGGCGGAAACCAUCUGGACUAGAGUCCGGAAGAGGAGAGUGGAAUUCCUGGUGUAGCGGUGAAAUGCGCAGAUAUCAGGAAGAACACCCGUGGCGAAGGCGGCUCUCUGGGACGGUACUGACGCUGAGACGCGAAAGCGUGGGGAGCGAACAGG
rnacentral:rRNA from 1 species